GAUUUGAGAUCUAAACCUGCUUACAGAAUUUGUAAACUUUAAGACGAAAGGGGAGAACUAAGCUUACCAGCUUUUAAGUUAACAGAAAUAGUAUUUUAAUGACCCAUGGUGAGCAAAUGUGAAGAAAAAGGUUUUUUGUUUUGUUUUGUUUUGUUUUUACCUUUAAUAUCUACUACGUUCUUAAGAAAGCAAACAAUUUUGUCCCUAUAAUCAGCAUACUUUUUAGAAGAAAAACCUUUUGUUUUUUAUUGUUUUGUUUUUGAAGAUAGCUUAUGAAAUGUAACAAUAGCAUUGAAUUUCUUGCUCAUUCCAGCACAUUUCUCUUUAUUAAAAAAUGCCCUUAAAACAAAGCAGAUGUUUAUUUCUAAGUCUUUUCUCAUGAAAAUGGAAUUUUUCCCUAUGCCGAUGUUGUCCUGGAUUACCUUUUUUGUCCUGUCUUAUCACUUCGUCUCCUGUCUCGGGUUUCUGGCUGUCUGUUCCUAUUUCUAUUUGAUGUUGUGCUCUCACUUCACACCCAGCAUGUAGAAUCACCUUGCUCUUCCAACUUCCCUGUCUGUGCCACUCACCUUGUUUUACUCAGCCCGUUCCUUAGUUCUCUGUGGUGAAUCUGUCACCUAAGCCAUGCAUUCUUCAUCGGACAUGUAUUUUGGUUCUCUUGUUUCCUUCUCCAUCUCCCUCUCCAAGCCUCUCGAGCCCCAUUCCCAAGUAGCUUUUUUUCUGACUACCUUUCUGGGCUCCAAGCUAUACCUGUGUCUCCUUCCUGCCCUGCAGUACAUUACCCCAAAGUUUGUCAGAUUGAUCUGCUUGAGUUCUGUUUUCUUUUUUCAUCACGUUUUUUCUUUUCUCUGAAACUUUCAGCAGCUCCCUGUUUCCAGAACAUAAAGACUUAACUCCUGCCUGGUUUUUAGGGGUCCCAGUAAUGGGAUUCUGCCCAACCCAUCCAGUUCUGGGUACAAGUACUGCCUGCCUUACAAUCUCCAUUCAGGUAAGGCCAGGGCUCCUAAGAGCAGGUUUGGGGUCCCCAGCAAAGAGGAGUGGCUACAAAUCCAUGCGUGACUUUGUGUUGGUGAAAAACCUAGGCCCCGUUGCCAGGCCCCUUUCUGGACCCCACCUGAAUCAUGUGUACUGGGCUUCCUCCUGGGCACUGCCUCCAAUGCAGGGUUGUCUAUUCCUGCUCAUGUCAUGCGACGAAAAGGAAAUGUUGGACAUACAUUUCCCUAGCAGAAUCCCUCUUUCCCUGUCCUCGAUUUUCAUUGAUCCCAUGUUAUUUCUGAACAUUCAUGAGUCACGCAUCAGAUACAUUUAAUAUCAGAUCCUAAUUUAAAAAGUAAAUGCUACUCUUCCAAAAGUACACAUGAUGUGGUCACUAUACUGGGUCAUAAAGAUGUAUGGGUUUUCAGUUAGUUAGACUUAGACCGUUUUGAAACUUUUCUCUGUUAACCAUUUAUAUAUCCCUGGUCGUAUGGAGCUCCAGUGGUGCAGUCGGUUAGCACAUGGUACUUACAUACCCUUGGUCCUGUAGCCCCAGCAUGUGGUGGUGAUCACUAGUUAAAUAUCAGAGUCAGCAAAUAGUGUGAACAGGUUCCAUUUCUUGCCCUUGAUCCCCUUUUGCAUCCAUUGUUGAAUCUGUAUGAUACUUUUUCAUCAUAAUUUUUCUAUUCAAAAAGUGUGCAGGUUUUAGCUUUUCUCUUGGUGUAAAACAGUUACACUCUUCCCUUUGCCUUUCCCUGUACAUUAGAAUCUAUACCAUAGGAAAGCUUCCAUGGAACCAAGCUCCACUCUGACACCCCUGUUAAAUUCAUACACUGCUGUGACCUGUCAUGGCUUUGUCCCUGUCCCUGCACAAUGCGCGGGAAUGAAUUGGUUGGUGUGUUCGGUGCGAGACUACGUGACACCCCUCCCAUCCCCUUGGCCCAUUGAAUUGAGUAGAACAUAAUUUAUGCUUCGCAUUGUAUCUUUAAUUUUUAUUCUUCUGCCAUGUUGAUGCCCUUGGGGACUAUUGGAGGUUGGAGUCGCUUCCAGACUAUGUUGUGUUCCAGCUGUCUUCUUGCUCCUUCCUGAAGGCCAGCUUGUUCUCUGCUCCUGUUACCUCUGCCUGCUGGUACUGCUUGUGUUGUCUGCCUCUGUCUUGAACAUUACUUUCCUCCCUUUCCAUCUUCCUUAUUUCUUCCGUGUUCUUUUCUACUAUUCCCCGUCUCUCAUUCUUCCUGUCUUUGGAACCAACAGAAUGUUUUUUGGUGAUGUCGUUUUUUUUCCCCUCAAAUGGAAAAUAGUAGACCCAUAGCUCCCAAAAUCCUGGGACCUUUGGUUUUUCUUUAUCAUCUUUAUACUGAUUGAACAACUCUUCUAGAUAGUUGGGGUAUCAGAAACCUAAGCUUCUGAUCAGCAGGGUGUUGGAAUACAACAUAAUUCAGCUAAAAGGUUAAUUCCACAUGCCGUUUUAUCAUGAUGUUCUAAGGUCAGUUGUUAGAACACAGAGUAGGUGGUCUUUUUCCUGUUACUGAUCAGGUGCUGUCCACCUGGUCAAAUUUUGCUGGUUGUUUAAUUAGUGUUGCUGUUUCUUCUCUUUAAGUCAAGAGGUGUUGCCAAAGAUUCACGAAGAUAAACACUACCCUUGUACUUUGGUGGGGACUUGGAACACGUGGUAUGGCGAGCAGGACCAAGCUGUCCACCUCUGGAGGUAUGAAGGAGGCUAUCCAGCCCUCACAGAAGUCAUGAAUAAACUCAGAGAAAAUAAGGAAUUUUUGGAAUUUCGUAAGGCAAGAAGUGACAUGCUUCUCUCCAGGAAGAAUCAGCUCCUGUUGGAGUUCAGUUUCUGGAAUGAGCCUGUGCCAAGAUCCGGACCUAAUAUAUAUGAACUCAGGUCUUACCAACUCCGACCAGGAACCAUGAUUGAAUGGGGCAAUUACUGGGCUCGUGCAAUCCGCUUCAGACAGGAUGGUAAUGAAGCCGUCGGGGGAUUCUUCUCUCAGAUUGGGCAGCUUUACAUGGUGCACCAUCUUUGGGCUUACAGGGAUCUUCAGACCAGGGAAGACAUACGGAAUGCAGCAUGGCACAAACAUGGCUGGGAGGAAUUGGUAUAUUACACAGUUCCACUUAUUCAGGAAAUGGAAUCCAGAAUCAUGAUCCCACUGAAGACUUCGCCCCUCCAGUAAAGCUGUAGAGUUUCUAUGUGCCUACGUACAUUUCUGUGACAAGUAUUUGUCAUAAAUUAAUUUUAAUUGUGUAUCAAGUGAAAAAGAAACACUGAGGUUUUAAGCUGCUGUAUAUAGCUUGUGAGAAACCUCUUUUCUUUAAAAUUUACAUAAUCACAAGAAAGGAAUUACAGUUGGACUGAUUGUGACAGUGCCCUGUCGUCCUCUUUGAAACACCCCCGUGUUGUCCAGUAUACCUUAUAACACUUAGCCACUUCUCCCCACCCUCCAGAAGGGGUCCACAUUGAAUUCUGAAUCAUCUUGAAAAUAAGAUUCCAACCACAAAAAAAAAAUUAGCCAUUUCUUUAACUAAAAAAAAAACAAAAAACAAAUCUGUUUUAUAAUCACAGAUUUUUCGACAAAUUUCUUGUAUCAGGAAGAAAUACAAAUUUUGUCAUGUUUCUCAAGCAGUUUUUCUGAGUAGUUUCUGAGGAGGAACAAAUUACAAGUGUACCCAAUAACUGAAAAUGUUUUAACUCACUCUCAUUUGUAAGCAGUCCACAUAGUAGACAAUGGGUUUUCCAAGCUGGGCAAGGUACAUUUAAUCAGUAAAUCAGUUUCACAUCAUGUAUUGUGAUGUUUCAAUGUGAGACACAAAAACAAUGGCUUGAAACUUGUGUAUCAUAUGUGAUUUUGAAAUGAACACCUUGAAUAGCACUAAUUUUUAUUUGUGGUAUUUUUCUAUAACAAAACAAGUAGCUCUAGGAAAAGAGGUUUUAUUUUGUAAACGAUCAUUUGUGACCUCAGACACUCUCUGGCUAAUAUUUUAAUAAGCUCACAGCAGAUAAUUCUGAGAUCAUGGAUGAGGGGUGGUGCAUGUUGAGAUUUAAAUUGGCAUAAAGCUGCAUACUUUUUGUCUAGCUGUUUGAUUUCAUUUUUUAAUAUAGUAUGCCAAUUUUGUGACUGUUACCAUGUGAAAGUCCUGUUGAAAUGAACAAUUGUCUGCCCCACAAUCAAGAAUGUAUGUGUAAAGUGUGAAUAAAUCUCAUAUCAAAUGUCAAACUUUUACAUGUGAAUGAAAAAGUUUUCUCAAAGAACAUAGAAAAGUCAAUAAAAUCCUCUUAAUUUUCAC
rnacentral:sRNA from 1 species